rnacentral:lncRNA from 1 species
GUCUCUAUACUUUAUAUUUCUGAUCUGUUUUGUGUCUCGAGGAGCCAAAUUGAUAUAAGUUUGUAGAUGGUCUGGAAAAAUCUUUUGUGGUCUAUUUAACUUUACGUCUGAACGGAUUUGAUGCAUGGUUUUAGGGUCUGUUCUUAUGAAUUGUUCGUUGCUCAUUGGUGGAUACUGCCCAAGGUAUUCAUACUAUUCAAGCUACAGCGGUG